rnacentral:rRNA from 1 species
CCUACGGGUGGCAGCAGUGGGGAAUAUUGGGCAAUGGACGAGAGUCUGAACCAGCAACGUAGCGUGAGGGAUGAAUGCCUUCUGGGUUGAAAGCUUCUUUUAUAUGGGAGUAAAACAGGGUAUGCAUACCCUCUUGUGUGUCGCCUAUGUAUAAGGCAGGGCUAACUCCGUGCCAGCAGCCGCGGUAAUACGGAGGAGCCACGCGUUAUCCGGAUUUAUUGGGUUUAAAGGGAGCGUAGGUGGGUUGUUAAGUCAGUUGUGAAAGUUUGCGGCUCAACCGUAAAAUUGCAGUUGAAACUGGCAGUCUUGAGUACAGUAGAGGUGAGCGGAAUUCGUGGUGUAGCGGUGAAAUGCUUAGAUAUCACGAAGAACUCCGAUUGCGAAGGCAGCUCACUGGACUGCAACUGACACUGAUGCUCGAAAGUGUGGGUAUCAAACAGGAUUAGAUACCCGUGUAGUC